rnacentral:sRNA from 1 species
UCUGGGUGUGGUGGUGUGUGCCUGUAGUCCCAGCUACUCAGGAGGCUGAGGUGGGAGGAUCACUUGAGCCCAGGAAUUGGAGGCUGCAGUGAGCUAUGAUCAUGCCACUGCACUCCAGCCUGGGCAAAGUAGUGAGAUCCCAUCUCAC